rnacentral:rRNA from 1 species
CCUACGGGGGGCUGUAGUGGGGAAUAUUGGACAAUGGGGGGAACCCUGAUCCAGCCAUGCCGCGUGUGUGAAGAAGGCCCUCGGGUUGUAAAGCACUUUCAGUGAGGAAGAACGCCUGGUGGUUAAUACCCAUCAGGAAAGACAUCACUCACAGAAGAAGCACCGGCUAACUCCGUGCCAGCAGCCGCGGUAAUACGGAGGGUGCGAGCGUUAAUCGGAAUUACUGGGCGUAAAGCGCGCGUAGGUGGCUUGAUAAGCCGGUUGUGAAAGCCCCGGGCUCAACCUGGGAACGGCAUCCGGAACUGUCAAGCUAGAGUGCAGGAGAGGAAGGUAGAAUUCCCGGUGUAGCGGUGAAAUGCGUAGAGAUCGGGAGGAAUACCAGUGGCGAGGCGGCCUUCUGGACUGACACUGACACUGAGGUGCGAAAGCGUGGGUAGCAAACAGGAUUAGAUACCCUGGUAGUC